UGAGUGGGUGGGACUGGCCU
rnacentral:miRNA from 1 species